GAAGUGACAUCACCGUGGCGGGAAGCUGCCGGCCAAUCAGGGCGUUGUUGACAGUGCGAGGCCGAAGGUCCCCACGUGCAGAGGUCGCUUCACGCCGCUCUUCGAACACAACGUGGUCACCAUGCGUGGGAUGGAGAAGACUUACUUUUGGGGACUUACCCUUGAUGGGUCUACUAAAGAAAAGAGCUGGGAAGGCCAGUGUGUACUGAAUAACCUUGAAGCCACAACUACCACACACACACUGUCAAUCAGACAGGUUGUCUUAGGUCCUGAAGCCAAGGAAGGGGAGGUCAAUGUGGUUGAGCUUGAGGUCAAAGGUUACAAGGACCAGAAACACAAAAUCCCUGUGUGCGUCACAAAGGCAGGAGGCUCAUAUGUCACAGGCGUCGAUGUCCUAAUAGAAGACACCCCAGCCGUCUUCCGUUUGACACAGGGCUCAGGGCCCAUCCACCUCAGUGGGACACACCAAGUAGAGACGACAAUCAUUGAGGAUGACAUGGACGACAGCUUGGCUGAGGAAGAGGGCGAAGAAGAGGAGGAAGUUGAAGAGGAGGUGGAAGAAUUGCCAAGGAAUAAAGGAUAGUCGCCUAACUGGGAGGCUGCGCAAAUAGGAUACUGUCCCACUGGAUCCUAAAUGCCAAAGAAGAAAGCCAAGAAAUAAAUUUUGAAGGAAUUGGAUACAUCAAAGCUUCAAGACAUUGCCAUGUUUUCUAUCCAGUCUUUAAAAUCAUUGUAUGAUUGUGUGUCUGUGUGAUUGAUAAAAGAUGAGAGAUUUA
rnacentral:misc_RNA from 1 species